rnacentral:rRNA from 1 species
UACGUAGGGUGCAAGCGUUAAUCGGAAUUACUGGGCGUAAAGCGUGCGCAGGCGGUUUUGUAAGUUUGUCGUGAAAUCCCCGGGCUCAACCUGGGAAUGGCGAUGAAGACUGCAAGGCUAGAAUCUGGCAGAGGGGGGUAGAAUUCCACGUGUAGCAGUGAAAUGCGUAGAGAUGUGGAGGAACACCGAUGGCGAAGGGCAGCCCCCUGGGUCAAGAUUGACGCUCAU